GAUGCCAUACUUCCAGGAAAAGCCUCUAAGCUUCAGAUUAUAAGGAAUCGUACCCCAAACCGACACAGGUGGUCGAGUAGAGAAUACUAAGGCGCUUGAGAGAACUCGGGUGAAGGAACUAGGCAAAAUGGUACCGUAACUUCGGGAGAAGGUACGCUCCUAGCGGUGAUGAGACUUGCUCUCUAAGCUGCCGGGAGUCGCAGAUACCAGGUGGCUGCAACUGUUUAUUAAAAACAUAGCACUGUGCUAAAUCGUAAGAUGACGUAUACGGUGUGACGCCUGCCCGGUGCUUGAAGGUUAAUUGAUGGGGUUAGAUUGUUUCUCUAUAUAGAGAGGGGUCGAAGCUCUUGAUCGAAGCCCAAGUAAACGGCGGCCGUAACUAUAACGGUCCUAAGGUAGCGAAAUUCCUUGUCGGGUAAGUUCCGACCUGCACGAAUGGCGUAAUGAUGGCCACGCUGUCUCCACCCGAGACUCAGUGAAAUUGAAAUCGCUGUGAAGAUGCAGUGUACCCGCGGCUAGACGGAAAGACCCCGUGAACCUUUACUACAGCUUGGCACUGAACAUUGACCCUACAUGUGUAGAUCUMGGUGGKMGCCKUWKMAWYAARAAMRMAAUAUUGGUGGAGGCAAUCUUGAAAUACCACCCUUGUAUGCUUGAUGUUCUAACGUUGGUCCCUUAUCGGGRUUGCGGACAGUGCCUGGUGGGUAGUUUGACUGGGGCGGUCUCCUCCCAAAGAGUAACGGAGGAGCACGAAGGUGGGCUAAACACGGUUGGACAUCGUGUGGUUAGUGCAAUGGCAUAAGCCCGCUUGACUGCGAGAAUGACAAUUCGAGCAGGUGCGAAAGCAGGUCAUAGUGAUCCGGUGGUUCUGAAUGGAAGGGCCAUCGCUCAACGGAUAAAAGGUACUCCGGGGAUAACAGGCUGAUACCGCCCAAGAGUUCAUAUCGACGGCGGUGUUUGGCACCUCGAUGUCGGCUCAUCACAUCCUGGGGCUGAAGUCGGUCCCAAGGGUAUGGCUGUUCGCCAUUUAAAGUGGUACGCGAGCUGGGUUUAGAACGUCGUGAGACAGUUCGGUCCCUAUCUGCCGUGGGCGUUGGAUGAUUGAAAGGGGCUGCUCCUAGUACGAGAGGACCGGAGUGGACGAACCUCUGGUGUUCGGGUUGUUACGCCAGUAGCAUUGCCCGGUAGCUAAGUUCGGGAUCGAUAAACGCUGAAAGCAUCUAAGCGUGAAGCGAGCCUUGAGAUGAGUCAUCCCUGAUACUUUAAGUAUCCUAAAGGGUUGUUGAAGACUACGACGUUGAUAGGCAGGGUGUGUAAGUGCUGCGAGGCAUUGAGCUAACCUGUACUAAUUGCCCGUGAGGCUUAACCAU
rnacentral:rRNA from 1 species